rnacentral:rRNA from 1 species
UACAGAGGGUGCGAGCGUUGUCCGGAAUCACUGGGCGUAAAGGGCGCGUAGGCGGCUCGGUAAGCGUGCGGUGAAAGCCCGGGGCUCAACCCCGGGUCGGCCGUGCGAACUGCGGAGCUGGAGCACUGUAGAGGCAGGUGGAAUUCCGGGUGUAGCGGUGGAAUGCGUAGAGAUCCGGAAGAACACCGGUGGCGAAGGCGGCCUGCUGGGCAGUGGCUGACGCUGAGGCGCGACAGCGUGGGGAACAAACAGG